rnacentral:lncRNA from 1 species
CAGAAAUGCUAAAUCACAGUUUGAAACAGUGAUUGAGCACCUGGUGGGAAGGCAGGGCUAACCCAGGUGCAUGCAAUACAUCUGAGUGACCAGAAGGGAUGGAUCCUGCCUCCACCCCUUUCCAGACCUCAUUUGAGUGUUGGCAGUGGAUUCAUAACUAUUUUGCUCGAGGUCCUUGUGUAUCUGAGGCCUUCUAAAGAUGCUGAAGAGCACAUACCCCUGCACAGAUGCCUGUGGGACUUCAUUCCUUUCUGUAAAACUGCCCUUUUAUUUCUACCCUUUAU